GAUGAAGAACGCAGUGAAAUGCGAUAAGUAAUGUGAAUUGCAGAAUUCAGUGAAUCAUCGAAUCUUUGAACGCACAUUGCGCCCGUCAGUAUUCUGGCGGGCAUGCCUGUUCGAGCGUCAUUACGCCCCUCAAGUCCCCUGUGGACUUGGUGUUGGGGAUCGGCGAGGCUGGUUUUCCAGCACAGCCGUCCCUUAAAUUAAUUGGCGGUCUCGCCGUGGCCCUCCUCUGCGCAGUAGUAAAACACUCGCAACAGGAGCCCGGCGCGGUCCACUGCCGUAAAACCCCCCAACUUUUUAUAGUGGACCUCGAAUCAGGUAGGACUACCCGCUGAACUUAAGCAUAUCAAUAAGCGGAGGA
rnacentral:misc_RNA from 1 species